rnacentral:lncRNA from 1 species
AUGAAUUUGUAUGUCUAAGACAUAUGGCCGGGUUAAAUGAGCAGUCUUCAGCUGUACACCUCAGUGGAAACAACUCUCAGGCAAAGGCUGGUGGUUGAGCUCUCUCCCUCAUUUCUAUCUGGAGCUUUGGAAAUAAUUGGACAUAUAAAAAAUUUGUUGAAGAAAUGAACAAAGUAACUCUCCUGUUAUUAGGCAAAUCUUGUUGAGACUGAGUGAGUGCUUACACAAUUCUACUUUCAGUGGAAUUCAAUGAAUAUGCUGCAUUUCUGGUUUGGCCAACAUCACUACUAGGUUGCUUUCUGUGCAUUAGUAUUCCAGCCCAGUUACUUCAUUCUAGAUAUAAAGUUCUUUUCUUUUUUUCUGGGUUAAGAUUUUUGCUAUGUAAAUGUUUAUUUCUUGCUAGAAAAUAUAAGUAAAUUGCUACAGCGAUUUAAUUAGUAAUUACGCUACCUGUCUUCAUUCAUUUGGGUGCCUUGGUCCAUUUUAGAUGGUAGGAGGCAGGUCGUAAUUUGGUAAAAGUAAAAUAAGCUCUCAAUUCUCUCACUUAUUUAGGGAAUUAGCAAUGUGAGCACUCAAAGUGUGCCAGGCAUUGUCUUUGAGACACUUUAACAUGCAGCUUAAUAGCUAUUUAAUUGAGCACUGACUCUGUGCAAGUCACCUUGUAUGUGAAUACUAUAUUGGUAAUUCUCAUCUAAAAUUCAUAUUGAUGACAAAAGAGAAAAAUAGGAACCAGGAUAAUUUUUUCUUUGACCUUAACUAUAAGGUUAAGAUCCUAUGGCUAGAAGUUUUUGAGGUUAGUUUGGAAUAUUCAUCAUUUUGUCAUAAAAAGCAAAUAAUUUCAUUACAUCACAUGAACUUGUUUUGGCACUUGCUCAACUUGGAUGUUUUAAUGCCUUCAACAAGAUAAAGUCUUUGCUUGAAAUACUGGUGGUUUUACCAAGAUGAUAACUUCC